GCAAGGAAGGGGGCGACCAAACCACCUUCGAACCCUAGCUUCAACAAUUGAUCAAAUUGAGGGCUCCAAUCUGUUCCCAAUCAAUUUCCAAGCAUAAAUUAGUGAUCAUCUCAGUGAAGAGAUCAUAAGACAAAGCGGGUGAAUCUUCAAGCAACCAAGUUGGGAAAGACGCGCGCUUGAAGGAUAAGCUAUAAGGUGAUAUUCCGGAUGGUGUUCAAGCAAAUGUCAAGAACCGAACACAACAUUUUAAAGCUUCCGCAAGCAUGACUUUUGUUUUAGCUUAACAUGGAUCUUGUAUUACAUAAAAUUACAAUAUGUUUGUUUUUUUUACUAGUAAGGAUUAAAAUCCUAGACACUUUAAUUAGUAGGAACUAUGAACCUACGGAAAAAAAAUUUUAACCCGUAUUUUACGCAAACUAAAUGCGUACUUAGUAGUAAA